AGCGAACGCUGGCGGCAGGCCUAACACAUGCAAGUCGAACGAACCUUUCGGGGUUAGUGGCGGACGGGUGAGUAACACGUGGGAACGUGCCUUUAGGUUCGGAAUAACUCAGGGAAACUUGUGCUAAUACCGAAUGUGCCCUUCGGGGGAAAGAUUUAUCGCCUUUAGAGCGGCCCGCGUCUGAUUAGCUAGUUGGUUGAGGUAAUGGCUCACCAAGGCGACGAUCAGUAGCUGGUCUGAGAGGAUGAUCAGCCACAUUGGGACUGAGACACGGCCCAAACUCCUACGGGAGGCAGCAGUGGGGAAUCUUGCGCAAUGGGCGAAAGCCUGACGCAGCCAUGCCGCGUGAAUGAUGAAGGUCUUAGGAUUGUAAAAUUCUUUCACCGGGGACGAUAAUGACGGUACCCGGAGAAGAAGCCCCGGCUGACUUCGUG
rnacentral:rRNA from 1 species